rnacentral:tRNA from 1 species
GCCCUCGUAGCUCAGAUGGAUAGAGCAACCGCCUCCUAAGCGGUAGGUCGCGCGUUCGAAUCGCGCCGAGGGCA